rnacentral:rRNA from 1 species
UACGUAGGGUCCGAGCGUUAAUCGGAAUUACUGGGCGUAAAGCGUGCGCAGGCGGUUUUGUAAGUCAGAUGUGAAAGCCCCGGGCUCAACCUGGGAACUGCAUUUGGGACUGCAAGGCUGGAGUACGGCAGAGGGAGGUGGAAUUCCACGUGUAGCAGUGAAAUGCGUAGAGAUGUGGAGGAACACCGAUGGCGAAGGCAGCCUCCUGGGCUAGUACUGACGCUCAUGCACGAAAGCGUGGGGAGCAAACAGG